GGUUUUACGAGCUACUAACCAAAAGUUAUGAUUUUUUAGCCCAAGCGCGAUGUCAGGUGGCAAGGGACCCUAGGAUCUGGCAGCAGGAGAUGUGUCGCAGGGGUAAUGGAAACGUUGGGCAAGCAGGGGAACAGCGCCAGGUUGCAGUGAGGCAGGAGCCUUGAAUUGGCCAGGAAUCCAGUAGAAGGUGGCAGAUGGAAUUGGAGGCAGAAGGUCCUUUAAGCCUAGAACUUGAGGGCCCUAGACUUCAGGAUGGGGCAGCUUGAGGCUCUCGCCUCGUGCUUGUCAGGAAGGCCCUUGGAGCAGCAGUUGGCACAUUUGGAGGUGCGCUGGUCAGCAAUGGAUGGGCAGGCGCGGCCUUCAUGGCCGUCUUGACCGCAGUGGAAGCACUUAGGAGCUCUGGAGCAUUGGGCAGAGUUGUGACCGAAGCCACAACAGCGGAAGCAGACGCGGGCGCGGAUGGACUCCUCGAAGUUGAGGAUUACUCCAUCCACCACGAUUCUCCCGCGAACACCCAGGGCUCUAAAGGUCUUGAUGUCCACCUCGAGGAAGGCGGUGCAGGUCCCGUUUCUGGGUGCAGAACGGUGCGCCAAGUGUACCACCUUGUCCCCAGGAAGUUUUCUAACAGCAGCGGUUUCCAGGAAGGUCUCCUCAAUUGUGGAGUUGGAUGUCUCCUCAUCCACUUUGAAGAGGCAGAUCCGUGGCAGGAUCUCCUUCUGCUGGCGGACCUUCAUUCCAUUCAACUUGCUGGCCAGGGAGGUCGUCACCUCAGGGAUGGUGUCAGGAUUACUGGAGUGGAGGUCCAGCUUCCCCUUGGUGUGUAGGGAGGCCCAAACGCCUUGGGGGAGAGUGUGGGCAGCGCGGACAGCUUUUAGCAUCUCCCUUGGGUCAGCCUGUGGGUCAUCAGAGAUGACCACUGUGUGGGCCGCCGAAUUUUCUCCGUGGAGGAUCACUUGGGCGGCCGCAGGCUUGGAUACGGGGGAAGGCGCAAGUUUUGAAGGACCAUUCAGGUUUGUCCUCUUUGCAGGCGGGUUGGGAGCUUCAGACUGCUUCCUUUUGGUUGGAGCAGGAGCAGGCAAGGUGGAGGCAGGCUUCUUGGCAGGGAGAGCAGCAGGAGCAGGAGUGGCGGGCUUUAUUGGGUCAGUCUGGGAGCUGGUUUCCUUGCAGGAGGGAGCAGGGCAGGUUUGAGUGCCGCGGCAAGCAGUCUUGGGCUUGUUGGCCUCCUCAAUUUCAUCCAACUCUGCGAAGGACUUGAGGGUGUCAGUGAGGUUCUCUACUUCGGUAGCAAGGGCCUUGAUCAUUUCAGUCCGCGAGGCGAUGUAGCGGAUCAGGUCCUCAUGCAGGGAUUUCAGGGCAGGAUGGCCAAUGGAGCUCAGGAUGCUGCAGUUGCGUGAGAUCACCAUCUCAUCUUCCCACUCCAGGUCGGUGAUGUUCACGAUGGGCUUGUAGGCCUUCUUUUUCUUCUUGGCAGGAUUCAUGUAUGCCGACUAAACGACCAACGGGGAAGAACAAUAUUAUUCAAUUGUUACGCCUUCUACAUGCUUUAGGUCAAGCAUUCUAAGGCAGAACUCAUCAUUGGGUGUCGCCAUGGGCCCGCUGCGAGGAAGGGCCAUGGAGAGGGGUGGAGAGGCGCAGACUGGGCGCGCAAGCGCCCCGAGGAGGAAGAGGGCGGUAGCACGGUUAGAGAGGGAACCAAGGAAGCACCAAGUACAGCGCCAGGCUCCAAGCAAGUCUGGCAGAUUGCAAAUUUACCUGUUUUUUUUUUUCCCCCCCCAAUUUAUUUUAUUGUAAAAAAAAGUACAAAAAUUAGGUAGGUAGCAGAGGGGGUGGAAUUAUAUACAAAGGGAGCAAACAAGGCAUCAUAAAGCAGCAAGGGUGAGGAGGGAGGAGGGGUAUGUACAGAACAAGAAAAGAAAUGAAGGGAGGGCAGAUUAAAUCAAGGAGGAGGGAGAGGGCAAUUAACAAUAUAAAUGAAAGAAAAGCAUCUAAUGGGAAUGGGGGAAAGGGGUAUUUACAAAAGGUGGAAGCAGGAGAGGGAGGAAACUGGGUAUUACCAGGAAGGGGAGGGGGAAGGAUAGUGGAGAGUGGGAUUGUUUGUGGUUCAGGGAGUUGUGUUGGGUGUGUUGGUGUCUGUCUAGUAGGUUGGGGGGUGAGUGGUUGGGAAGAGGAGAGAGGUGGGUGAGGGUUGUGGGGGAGAGAGGGGGGUUCUAAGUGGAGGUGUCACUGUCGGAGCUAGAUUGGGGGAUGUUGGAGGGGACGAAUCGAUUGGAAUGGGUGGCAAAGGCGAGGGCCCAGGCUUUGCUGGAAGAGAAGAGCUGAGGGAGGGAAGUAGGGAUGAGACCGAGGUUGGUUAGGCAAUUUUGGAAAAAGGUAGCGCGGAGGGAGUCGAGGUCAGGGCAGUCAAAGAAAAUGUGUUCUAUAGUUUCGGGAGCUUGGUUGCAGUGAGGACAGGUGGGGUCAAAGGGGGGAGGGGUCCUCCUAUGAGGGUUGGCGGCUAUGAAGGUGUGGCCGGUGAGAAGACCGGUGGCAAUGGCAGAGCUUGGUAGAAGAAAGCUAUGGGAGGAGGAGAGGGAGCUGGGGGUGAGGCCGAGUCUGAGAAAGAAGCUGGGCCUGGCCGAGAUGAAUUCGUCUUCCCAAAGAGACCAAAAGUGAUGGGAGAGGAACUUGUGGUGAGUAGUUUUGGAAGCAAGAGCGUAUUUCGGCGGGAGAGAGGGGGCGAUGGUGGCUCCUUUUGCUAACGAGUCAGCUAGGCAGUUGCCGAAGUUAUCGGAGUGACCUUUGACCCAGUGGAGGGUGAGGUUGCGGGAGGGGAGGAGGGAGUAAAGGAGGGCUUGGCACUUGGCAACGAGAGUGUGGGAAAGACAGGGCAGAAAGGAGAGAGAGACAGUCGGAGGAGAUGGCGGUGGAGAGGGAGGGGGGGAGGCUGCUAAGAUCGGUAAGGGCGGUUUGGAAGGCGAAGCAUUCCGCCUGAAAAAUGGAGCAGUGGGAGGCCAAGGGGAUGGAGAGGUCGAGGGGGAGGGGGAAACGAGAGGAGAGGGGAGAAGAGGAGAUCCUGGCUAUGCCGGCCCCGACGCCGCUGCGCGACUUGGAGCCGUCGGUGUAGUAAUCGAAGUCGGGAGCGGAGGGGGGGGAGGAGCGAGAAGGAGAGGUCUGGGAGGAGAGGAGGGGAGGGGAAGUGGAAUGGGGGAGGGGGGGGUUUCGGGAGUGAAGGGGAGAGGGUCGGGGGAGCGAAGGAGGGAAGAGAGGAGGAGGACCUUGAGGUCCAGGGGAAGGACGCGGAGAAGGGCAAUGGCGACGUGAGGGUAGGGACUGUGCGGAACCCCCAAAUGGCGUGGAUGCAGAAUUUGCGUUGGAUGGAACGGAGGCUUGCUUUACCGACGCGGAGUUUGACUGCUUCGCACCAGAUGGGGGCGGCGUAGGUGAUGGCUGGUUCGACGACGCCGCUGUAGAAGCGUCUCCUGGCGAUGUAGCCGAGCCCGGAGAUGGCGUUUAAAUCCUUUUAUUUUAUACGGCGUUGGAGCAUUGGGAGAUCCUGCCGAGGAGGGAUGAGGCCUUAUCGCAGACUCGGUAGAGGUGAGGGGUGAAGGAAAGCGAUCGUCGAAAGUAACGCCCAAAAUGGUAAGGGUUUCGGGACAGGAGAGGGGGGUGUUGUCUAUGAGGAGAUGGGGAGGGUUGCAGUAAAUAGGGAGGACCAGUGACUUAUGUGGGGUGAGGGAGAGCUUGUUGUCCAGGCACCGAAGGCUCGACUGACAAUGGUUAUAGCUAAUUGACCAAAUGGGAUGGCCUUCUAGCUCUACUACUGGCUGAAAUGAAUCAGACUGACCGCGGCAAAGGGUACAGGUAACCCGGGGAGAUACAGCAACAUCGCAAUAUCCCCCGCGACAACACCCAAGGAACCACCAAGCCCACCACCCAACGCAACGCACGCAGGGGCGGCGCGAAACGCAUUUCCAACCAUCCGCGAAGAGACGCGCGGCGCCCUCAUGGCACCCCUGGAGAAUGUGAUGCGUGCUAAUGCUGUAAGAACAUAGGUGAGUAUCCCUGGGUCAGAGGGAAAGAGAGGAAGAGGUUUCAAGUUAAAAAAGGUGAGCAAUUGUGAAAAGGUUGAUUAAAAAAAAAAAAGAAAAAGAAUUACUAAUAAUAAUAAAAUAAUAAAAUAAAAAUGGCAAUAAUUGAGUAAAUAAAUAAGGAGAUAAGUGAGAAUAAUAAAAAGAAGAAAAAAAAAUUAAAAUAAUAAUAUUAUUAAUAAUAAAAAUAAAUAAUUUCAGAGUACAAAAUCUGAAAGUACUAAAUCGCAUCUUUUGCCAACCAAUGAAAAUGAGCGGCCAUCAAACCACAAAACCCCCGGUUGUGACGUCGCGCAAUUAAUCGACCAAUCAGCGUGCGGCGUCCAAUUUCGACCGCGGCCCUCUAACCCUUGGGUGAUUAGAGACGGCGCUUGGUGAAAUCCCGACCACAAGCCAGCUGGAAAAUUAAAAGUUUGACAUCGCAUACAUAGUUCGUGAUACACGCAUAUGCAGGUAAAACACUGAAGUUUAGGUGGAAUUAGAGUCGGAAACCUCCUCUGAUUCCACC